GAUGAACGCUGGCGGCGUGCCUAAUACAUGCAAGUCGAGCGAACAGACUAGGAGCUUUUUCCUCUGUCGUUAGCGGCGGACGGGUGAGUAACUCGUGGAUAACCUACCUAUCUGACUGGGAUAACUAAGGGAUACCGGAGCUAAUACAUGCUAUUAUCUUUAACCGCAUGGUUCAUUAUUGCAAGACGGUAUUGCUGUCACUUAUAGAUGGAUCCGCGCUGCAUUAGCUAGUUGGUAAGGUAACGGCUUACCAAGGCAACGAUGCGUAGCCGACCUGAGAGGGUGAUCGGCCACACUAGAACUGAGACACGGUACAGACUCAAACGGGAGGCAGCAGUAGGGAAACUUCCGCAAUGGGCGAAAGCCUGACGGAGAAAAGCCGCGUGAGUGAUGAAGGUCUUCGGAUAGUAAAACUCUGUUAUUAGGGAAGAACAAAUGUGUAAGUAACUAUGCACGUAUUGAAGGUACCUAAUCAGAAAGCCACGGCUAACUACGUG
rnacentral:rRNA from 1 species